GAUGAACGCUGGCGGCGUGCCUAAUACAUGCAAGUCGAGCGAACGGACGAGAAGCUUGCUUCUCUGAUGUUAGCGGCGGACGGGUGAGUAACACGUGGAUAACCUACCUAUAAGACUGGGAUAACUUCGGGAAACCGGAGCUAAUACCGGAUAAUAUUUUGAACCGCAUGGUUCAAAAGUAAAAGACGGUCUUGCUGUCACUUAUAGAUGGAUCCGCGCUGCAUUAGCUAGUUGGUAAGGUAACGGCUUACCAAGGCAACGAUGCAUAGCCGACCUGAGAGGGUGAUCGGCCAAACUGGAACUGGGACACGGUCCAGACGCCGACGGGAGGCAGAAGUAGGGAAUCUUCCGCAAUGGGCGAAAGCCUGACGGAGCAACGCCGCGUGAGUGAUGAAGGUCUUCGGAUCGUAAAACUCUGUUAUUAGGGAAGAACAUAUGUGUAAGUAACUGUGCACAGCUUGACGGUACCUAAUCAGAAAGCCACGGCUAACUACGGG
rnacentral:rRNA from 1 species